AUUGAACGCUGGCGGCAGGCCUAACACAUGCAAGUCGAGCGGAUGAGAGGAGCUUGCUCCUUGAUUCAGCGGCGGACGGGUGAGUAAUGCCUAGGAAUCUGCCUGGUAGUGGGGGACAACAGUUGGAAACGACUGCUAAUACCGCAUACGUCUUACGGGAGAAAGCAGGGGACCUUCGGGCCUUGCGCUAUCAGAUGAGCCUAGGUCGGAUUAGCUAGUUGGUGAGGUAAAGGCUCACCAAGGCGACGAUCCGUAACUGGUCUGAGAGGAUGAUCAGUCACACUGGAACUGAGACACGGUCCAGACUCCUACGGGAGGCAGCAGUGGGGAAUAUUGGACAAUGGGCGAAAGCCUGAUCCAGCCAUGCCGCGUGUGUGAAGAAGGUCUUCGGAUUGUAAAGCACUUUAAGUUGGGAGGAAGGGCAGUAAGUUAAUACCUUGCUGUUUUGACGUUACCGACAGAAUAAGCACCGGCUAACUUCGUGCCAGCAGCCGCCGUAACAC
rnacentral:rRNA from 1 species